CCGACUUCCGAAUUCUAAGUUGAUGCUACGCCGACAAUACUGAUUCUGCGAGCAAGCAACGGCCGAUCAUUUCCCGCUGUACCGUGAAAUUGAAUUAAUGAUAAAACACUGCUGCAUGCCACCAUCCCUGAUGAUUCAAUAUCGUUCGGCGACUAUCAUCGAGCUAUAUCACCAACGGGAUACAAUAAAAAAUUAAACAGGAAAAAAUGCGAGCAGCAUUAGUUACAGCGGCUUCAGUGAGUAUAGCCGGUUGCAUCAUUGGCGACUGAAAUCUACGUUUAUGAAUCCCGGUCUGAAUAGCAGUUAACGCACUUAACAA